rnacentral:rRNA from 1 species
AACGUAGGAGACAAACGUUAUCCGGAGUUACUGGGCGUAAAGGGCGUGCAGGUGGUCAUUUAAGUUCGGCGUGAAAGCUCUUGGCUAAACCGGGAGAGGUCGUCGGAGACUGGAUGGCUAGAGGGUGACAGAGGCGGGUGGAAUUCAUGGUGUAGCAGUGAAAUGCGUAGAUAUCAUGAGGAAGACCAGUUGCGAAGGCGACUCUCUGGGCAACUCCUGACACUGAGGCACGAAGGCUAGGGGAGCAAACGGG